UGCUCCCCUUGACUGGUUGCCUCACGGUUAUAAUGCUACAGAGCUGUACUCUAUAGAGAGAAGGAAGACGUUAAUAUCCUUCGAUAGGCUGUUGCUUGGAGCAGCCACUGAAGCUGUGAAGGCACAGUGGGAACUCUCACUAUGCAGGAAGGAAACCAAAGAUAAUUUACGAUGGAAAAAUGCCUGUGGAAAGCAUGGGAUAUUAGCCCAG
rnacentral:misc_RNA from 1 species